GGAGAGGUGCUAGAGUGGUUGAAUAGGACGCUCUCGAAAAGCGUUGUGCCUUAACGGGUACCGUGGGUUCAAAUCCCACCCUCUCCGCCA
rnacentral:tRNA from 1 species